rnacentral:rRNA from 1 species
UACGAAGGGGGCUAGCGUUGCUCGGAAUCACUGGGCGUAAAGGGUGCGUAGGCGGGUCUUUAAGUCAGGGGUGAAAUCCUGGAGCUCAACUCCAGAACUGCCUUUGAUACUGAAGAUCUUGAGUUCGGGAGAGGUGAGUGGAACUGCGAGUGUAGAGGUGAAAUUCGUAGAUAUUCGCAAGAACACCAGUGGCGAAGGCGGCUCACUGGCCCGGUAUACGUGACGCUGAGGUGCGAAAGCGUGGGGAGCAAACAGG